rnacentral:rRNA from 1 species
UACAGGGGGGGCAAGCGUUGUUCGGAAUUACUGGGCGUAAAGGGUUCGUAGGUGGCCAACUAAGUCAUACGUGAAAUCCCUCAGCUUAACUGGGGAACUGCGCCUGAUACUGGUUGGCUUGAGUGCAGGAGAGGAACGCGGAAUUCCAGGUGUAGCGGUGAAAUGCGUAGAUAUCUGGAGGAACACCGGUGGCGAAGGCGGUGUUCUGGACUGCAACUGACACUGAGGAACGAAAGCCAGGGGAGCAAACGGG